GUCACUAUGGCGUGUACUGUAGUGACGUCACAUCCUACGAUGGUUUUAUCAUUUCGUAGCACUAAGAGAGCUUCAAAAAUAUGGGCCCAGGUAACUAAAUUUGGAAUGGUCGACUAGUCAAAGAAUGCAAAUACGAUGAAAGGAAAUGACAGCAUAUACGUUUUUUGAUAUACCAGUCGUGGUGCACUGGUUGGAACGGGGUGGUGGGGAGCUCAAUCAAAGAAUGGGUCCACUGAGGUGGUUCGAUCCUACGACCCAAGCCUCAAUCGAGCGCUCUACCGACUGAGCAAGAUCACAUCCUAUUACGCAUACACAGAACAUCCUUUGAUAUACCAGACAUGGGACACUGCUUGGCACUGCUGGCGAUCGAACCUGCGACCCAUUACACUCCAGGAAAAUGGUACCAAAGGUUGACUGUUUCAAGAUUGCCGAUCCCACUUUCGUCAGGAAAUGGUACCCGUUGCUCUGAGGAUGUUUUGUUUACUGAACUGAAGAUGGACAACAGAGGCUGACUUCGUCGGGUAGGCAC